rnacentral:rRNA from 1 species
AGGGACGAAGGCCUUCGGGUCGUAAACCUCUUUUCUGGGGAAAGAGCAAGGACGGUACCUCAGGAAUAAGUCUCGGCUAACUACGUGCCAGCAGCCGCGGUAAU